GAAUAUAGCAAUUAUAAAAGAUAUACUAUUGGAUAUCAUAGAUAUGAAAUUGCAAUCCAUAGUAUUUUAAGCAUGCACAUAAUUGAAAGUAACUCAAUUUGAAGGUCAUUCAUUGAAAGUCAAAGAGUAGAUAUAUAUAUAUAAUCAAAAAGUGACUGAUACCAUAUAGUUGUUCCAAUACAUAUAUCAAAAUAUAAAAGUCAAUCAGUCAAGAUCAUUACAUGGCCCA
rnacentral:lncRNA from 1 species